UUUCAACAACGGAUCUCUUGGUUCUGGCAUCGAUGAAGAACGCAGCGAAAUGCGAUAAGUAGUGUGAAUUGCAGAAUUCAGUGAAUCAUCGAAUCUUUGAACGCACAUUGCGCCCUUUGGUAUUCCGAAGGGCAUGCCUGUUCGAGCGUCAUUACAGCUCUCAAGCACAGCUUGGUGUUGGGCGUCUGUCCCCGCGUUUGCGCGGCGGACUCGCCUGGAAAGCAUCGGCGUCCGGCGGUGGGUCUUGCGCGUAGCAGAUUGUUCGCACAAGGGCCCGCCCGCAGGGCUGCCGCACACGUCCGAUUGUAUUAGUUUGACCUCGGAUCAGGUAGGGAUACCCGCUGAACUUAAGCAUAUCAAUAAGCGGAGGAAAAGAAACCAACAGGGAUUGCCUCAGUAACGGCGAGUGAAGCGGCAACAGCUCAAAUUUGAAAUCUGGCUCCUUUUGGGGUCCGAGUUGUACUUUGCAGAGGGUGGUUCGGCGUCGGCUCCCGUCUAAGUUCCUUGGAACGGGACGUCAGAGAGGGUGAGAACCCCGUACGCGAUGGGCGGCCGGUCGCCGUGUGAACCCCCUUCGACGAGUCGAGUUGUUUGGGAAUGCAGCUCUAAAUGGGAGGUAUAUUUCUUCUAAAGCUAAAUACUGGCCAGAGACCGAUAGCGCACAAGUAGAGUGAUCGAAAGAUGAAAAGCACUUUGGAAAGAGAGUCAAACAGCACGUGAAAUUGUUGAAAGGGAAGCGCUUGCAGCCAGACUUGGCUGCCGUCGUUCAUCGGGGGCCCGUCCCCCGUGCACUCGACGGCAGGCAGGCCAGCAUCAGUUGGGGCGGCUGGAGAAAGGCCCUGGGAAUGUAGCUCUCUCCGGGGAGUGUUAUAGCCCAGGGCGCCAUACAGCCAGCCCCGACUGAGGUCCGCGCUCGGCUAGGAUGCUGCGU
rnacentral:rRNA from 1 species